ACACACACACACACAGAAAAUGAACACCAGUUCAUGAACUGAAGGGGAAGAAGGAAAAAAAAAUAUGUGAAUGAUGCAGGCUUCAAAGCCUGGAGAUCUCCUGCUUGAGGUGGUCGACUUGCUGCAGCAGCUGGUUCUUCUCCGACUCCAGGACGUGUCUCUGCUGCACCCUCUUGAAGCGGCAGGACUGGGCAUGCUUCAGCCGGAUCACCUCCUCCUUGCUGACCCCGCGCAGCUGCCGGUUCAGCUCGCGCACCGACAUGGUCACCAGCUGCUCGUCGGAGAAAAAGCGGUCGUCGAAGAUGCAGGCCGCCGGCGUAUGUGGUGCGGGUGCAGGGCGCCCCCGCCCCCGCCGCGCCCCGCCGCCUCCGCCGCCGCCGCCGCCGCCGCCGCCCCCGGCGCUGGCCGGGCUUCACCGCCGCCCGCGCCCCCCGCGCCACCGGCCAGAGCGGACGCACCGCCCGCGGCGCCGGGCGCUACUCGGCCGUCGGGUGAAGUGGUGGUGGCCACGGCGGCGUGGUGGUGGUGGUGGUGGUAGUGCGGACCCGCGCCGCUCUGCGCGGCGGCUGCGGCGAUCACGGCGGACACCACGGCGGCGGCGGGGCCCAUCUCCUCGCCGCUGCCGCCCAGGGAGGCUCCGGCGCCGGCCCCGGCCGCCGCGGCCAGCUGCUGCGCCCCGCGCGCGUAGCCAUCGAAGCCGCCCUGGAGCUGGUGGCUGUUGCUGAUGAGCGCCUCGACCGCGUCCUCGGGGCUGAAGCCCAGCGCCUCGGGGUUCAGCUGCUGCGGGUAGCCGGUCAUCCAGUAGUAGUCUUCCAGGUGCGCCUUCUGCUCGCUGCCCGAGCCCGGGCUGGGCGCCGAGAAGCUGGGGGAAGGGGGCACCGAGCUGCACGGCGUGCUCAUGGGGGUGGAGGACAGCGAGCCCCCGGCGAUGAGACGGCCGCACUGGCUGAUGAUGCGGUCGGUCUCCACCGGUUCCUUUUUCACUUCAAACUUCAUCAGAUCGAAGUCAUUAACAUAUUCCAUGGCCAGGGGACUGGUGGGCAGGUCCUCCGCGGGCUGCGGUGGCGGCGGCGGCGGCGGCGGCGGCGGCGGCAGCGAAGCUGGAGGAGCCCGGCCCGGUGCGCGGCGUCCCCCGCUCGCCGCUCCGCUGCGCGCUUUGCAUAAGGAAGGGCUCGCCUCGCCGGCCCGGGCUGCAGGCAGGGCGCGCGCGGCGGCCGCUCGGGGCUGGAGGCGCGGCGGGCGUCUGUCCGGGCGGCGCGGGCCUUGGCACCGGGGAGUUAACACUUCAUGCUUCUCGCCUCCUCUUCUGCUUGGCUCUCUUUAUUAUUAUUUUUCUUUCCUCUCUCUCUCUUUCUCGCUCUCUCUCCCUCGCGCGCUCUCUCCCUCUGUGCAAAGUGCAAGGCAGAGGUGCAGCCCGACUGGAGGAGAGGGAGGGGGGAGUUUAGUUCUUUCUUGCUUUUUUUUUAAAAAAAAGCAAAAUAGCGAAGUCCUGGGGAAAGACAAGGCAGGGAGCAAAGGGGGGAGGGGGAGGCCAAGCCGACAAGCAGCCCGAGCUACAGCUCGAAGAUGA
rnacentral:lncRNA from 1 species